GGUUAUCCCACUGAAAGCUUAAAUCAUUCUAUGUAAUGUUGUUCGCUCCAAAAGAUCAGGAAAAGUUGUAAGUUAUGUGUGCUUGUUUGUUCGCGCUUUAGCUUCAAAGCUAAAUGAUAGGCAGUUGGUAAACAGUUUUCGGCACACACAUGAACCACGGGCAACCGUAGCUUCAUUUACAAACUUGUUGCUAACUGGGAAUGAAGAGUAAUGACCAAAUAAACUUCUAACGGGCCCGACGUGAAAGACAAAUACACACAGUUACCCUGGUGGACAGUAACAACUCAACUAAGGUUCAUCGAGGUCUGUGGCCCAAGACAAGUCAACCAGUUGUACACCAAGGUCACAUGAACAGGGAGGGUCAACCAACCAUCCUCCAAAGAAAAGGUCUUUACAUACUACAGAGAAGUUCCCCAUUCCAAAAGGGACUCCUCUCUCGCUGGUUUCCUAGCGUUUCUCCUCGGUGGGAGGGACUUAACUUAGACGCAAGGAAAGGAGGCAAGGAGAGGAAACACGGAUGCAAUUAGGAGACUCUGGAAGCAGCCCUCGUAGACCUGUGUAAAGAAGGAUGUGUUUGCACCCUUUCACUGUGUCAGUUGCUAUAAUUCCAAAAAAUUGUAACAAAUUUUGUGAAGCUACACGAAGAAAUAAAAAAGCUGCAGAGGAGCAGUGAGCCUCACUCUGCAAGUCGUGUGGAGAGGAUACAGUCCCUUGAGGAGUUCAAGGAGAAGGAGGCUUCUCUGCAAGAUCAGGGCCAUUUUGAUACCUUGGUUUGUCAACUGUCAAGAGUGGGUGGGAAAGACGUUAAAGACUGCACGCACAAAGUUCUCGACAGCUUGGGGAUACCUCUUCAAAUUACAACCCGGUUCCCAGUGAUGUCCUUCAGCAUUUUCAGAUAUCAACCACAGUAUGCCUGAAGUGCCAAAAUACCGGAGAAAUAGAUUUAUGAGGAACCGUUUGCAGGAACCGUUACUCCAAAUGUGAUGGAACCGGUUCCGGAACCAGAACUUUGGACCCGGUUCCAAAAAAGAACCGGAUACAGAUCCCAACCCUAGUGGUUAAGUUUUAUACUUGUUCCAAAACUGUUAUUAUAUAUAUGUUAAACUGUUAUUAUAAUUAUGGUGGAAUGUUAUAGAAAUAAAGAGAGACUGCUUUUUCAAAUUCAAUGUUUACAUGUGGUUUUCAAUAUGUCCAAAAUGUAAUUAUCAGUGAAACUUGAUUUUGUACAGAUCAUAUUGACAUCGGUAAAUAUUUAUCGGCCAUAACCGCAAUUUUAAUGUUAUCUGUAUAGGCUACAAUUUCCAUAUCAGUGGAUCCCUUGUAUGUUGUGUGUUUUCGCCUUUCACACUGUUAAACAGGGUUGCCACGUGUCUGGAAAGAACUUGAAAGUGCAUGAAUUAAAAAGAUAGAAACGAAGAACUUUAAAGUGCUUGGAUUUACCAAAAGGUCCUUGAUUUUGAGCUUUGUGUGGUCUGUCAACUUUGAACGAUUCAACAAUUUUGGGGCAAGAAAACUGGAUAUUUUUCUACCAAGAUGUAGACGAUUUUUGGCAACAAAAACCAAUAUUUCUAACGAGGCACAGACGAUUUUAUGGCGACAACUGAGCAUUUUUAUUGAGACAUCAAAUAUUUUGUGGUGACUAAACAGGAUUUAGCAAGACGACAACGAUUUUCUGUGUAAAUUAUUGGUCUUUAAUUUUGAAACAAUUCUUCUUGAACUGUUAAAUUACAAAGAGUGGCAAACCUGGUUUAAGUCAGUCACAUUUUACAAAAUGUGAGAUACAAGCACUUUGCUAAAGUUCAAUUUUAGAAUUUUCAUGUUAAUACACUGAGAUUGAAGUAAUUGCUUUCUGGAGUGGUCAGUUUUGCUAUGGAUGAUUGAACAGCUGUCUGUAUUUAUUGAUCUACUGAAUUGUCAUUUAGUUGUUGAAGUCAAUGCAUUUCACAAGAGCUUGGAAGGCACUCCUUUUACUGUUCACCUCUGCUACCUAAUUUCAUCAGACUAAACUGAGGUCCAUACUACAUUUAAGGUUAUCUUCAUGGUCAAUCUGUAGUGGUUCUAAAACGGGUUCAGGGCACCCCCAGAGAUCUUUGAAGGUUCUUUUCUCACAGAAAAAAUGAUACAAGCAGUCAUCACAAUUGGUCUUUUGCAUCUUCUCAGGAUAUCUUUUGG